CCUACGGGGGGCAGCAGUGGGGAAUAUUGGACAAUGGGGGGAACCCUGAUCCAGCCAUGCCGCGUGUGUGAAGAAGGCCCUCGGGUUGUAAAGCACUUUCAGUGAGGAAGAACGCCUGGUGGUUAAUACCCAUCAGGAAAGACAUCACUCACAGAAGAAGCACCGGCUAACUCCGUGCCAGCAGCCGCGGUAAUACGGAGGGUGCGAGCGUUAAUCGGAAUUACUGGGCGUAAAGCGCGCGUAGGUGGCUUGAUAAGCCGGUUGUGAAAGCCCCGGGCUCAACCUGGGAACGACAUCCGGAACUGUCAAGCUAGAGUGCAGGAGAGGAAGGUAGAAUUCCCGGUGUAGCGGUGAAAUGCGUAGAGAUCGGGAGGAAUACCAGUGGCGAAGGCGGCCUUCUGGACUGACACUGACACUGAGGUGCGAAAGCGUGGGUAGCAAACAGGAUUAGAUACCCGGGUAGUC
rnacentral:rRNA from 1 species